CAGGUUUUCUGAGGCCUCAUCCUGUCUUUGGAAGUAACAGACCACACUUCGGAAAGUGUCCUGUGCCAAGGGCUGGACGUCAGAAAUCUUGGACCCAUUCUUGAAGCAGGGAAUUGAGUAACUUUCUCAAGUGCACGUUGACACUCCUUAUAUUUCUACCAGUAUCACCGAGGUUCAGUAGGUCUCAUGAAAGAAUUUCGAGCCUGGAAUUCUCUAGAGAAGCCUCCAUGCCGGUAUUCUCCAUUGUAGCAGAACAACUCUCAUCAAUAUGUUCGCAUCUCAGCUCAAUCCGUCCAGCCAGCUUUUCUGCCAGCUUCUCUUCGUGUCUCCCAUAAAGUCGACGUCAACAGGACUGGGCAAGUCUGGAAGUAACUCUGAGCCUCACCAGUAAGCUGAUGACAGGCAGAUCUUCCACUGUCUGCCUUUCAGAUUCUGGAAACUGACCCGUGAACUCAGGUCUUUGUGCAGCAGCAGUAACUAGAACUUGCACAGCUUCCCGAGCAAAAGACCAAAGCCAAGCUCCACAGAGGGCGGCAGACCCUCCAUCACACUGAUCCACCCAUAGAAUUCUGCCCAGGUACCUUGGUUCCACCAGCCACAACAAGCCUCGCGGUACACAGCAACAUUCCAUCUGGAAUUCCAUCCGACGUCAGGAAUUUUGGACCCGUUCUUGGAGCAGAGAAUCGAGUAACUUUCUCAAGGGCACGUUGACUCUCCGUAUGUUUCUGCCAGUAUCACCGAGGUUC